AAAAGGGUAAACUGAUGCUAAAAGCUACCUCAAGAAGAUGCCUGGAGCAGGGUUCAAGAUCAAUCUAGCUUUUAGUCUCAGCCAUAAACCAUCUGAGCUUUGGGUAAGUCACUUGACCACCAGGCCGGUUUCCUCAUUAUGACAGAAUGGAAUUCUGAAUUCCCUUUCUGUUGUAAUAGUCUGAUUGCACAAUUUUCCAUUAGAGAAGUUUCAUACCUGUUAGAUCUCCUGCUGCCAGGAACUAACCUCCUGGGAGACAGGUCUUAUCGUCAUCCAGGCAUAUAGGAGGGUGUUGGGAAAACACUUGUAGUGGAUGCUGGAUUGUGCCAUUCAGAGCCAGCUCCCUUUGCUAUUGAAGAACUUAUUUCCCUACAUGUCAGGACUUCUGCUGGCUGAUGGCCCCCAGCUGUGAGCUCUUUCAGGCAUCACCUUUGGCUGCAAAAGGCUCCCUCUCCUGAAGUUACUACCUGCAUCCCUGGAGGCAGACUUCAUCUCAUGUCUUCAUCCAAAGUUUGAACAAAUUGGCUAAGAAGGUGCUAGACAUGUAAAGGGACUAUUUUUUUUCUUAAUUCAAAUGUAGGAGGAGUAUGGAUCUCCAGGAACCAGAAGAGCUGCAUACAUAUGUGAGUGGAUUCUGAAAGUGCUGAAGUGAGGGGGAUGCAACAUUAAGUUGGAUGAGGGAGGAUUUGUUAAUAUGAAUGCACUCGUCUGUGAUACAGAAUUUAACAACCUGGCAAGACCCCCAGGAGAGGGUUCUAACAUGUUGUUAGGAUGGCUCUGAAAAGCAUGAAGAAACUGAUGGCUCAAAUCAUGUAAGGCAGAAAUACCAGAAUUGCUAUGGCAGAGGGUGGAUCAAAAGUCUCAGAAAAAUGAGCAUGCCCAACAAUUCAGCGACAGCACCAUCAGCCCAGAUGGGGGUUGUGAGCAAAGUCCGAGAUGGUCAGAAGGAAACGAGAACCUGGGAGGUGGCGAGUGUCCACUGCUCUAGUCUCAGGACAGCCUGCUCUGUUAAAGCACCUGGUCCUUCUUCCUGAAGACUUCAGUCCCACCUUGCAUUAUGUUUUGUUCUGUGUAUGUGCGUGUCUAUCUCUCCUGCUAACUGCUGAGCUUGCUAAGGAAAGGAACCUUGUUUUAUGAAAUAAAUGAUAUUUAUG
rnacentral:lncRNA from 1 species